GGUUGAUCCUGCCAGUAGUCAUAUGCUCGUCUCAAAGAUUAAGCCAUGCAAGUCUAAGUAUAAGCGUUCAUACUGUGAAACUGCGGAAAGCUCAUUAUAUCAGUUAUAGUUCAUUUGAUAGCAUUCUUCUAAACGGAUAACCGUAGUAAUUCUAGAGCUAAUACAUGCCUCGAUAUGAUCUCUCACGGGAUCUUGGACUUAUUAGAAUUAAAUUCAACCUUGUCUUGACAGGAUUUUGCUGAAUCAUAGUAAAUUUUGCAAAUCGCAUUGGUUUUACCAGGCGAUGGGUCAUU
rnacentral:rRNA from 1 species